rnacentral:rRNA from 4 species
UACAGAGGGUGCGAGCGUUAAUCGGAUUUACUGGGCGUAAAGCGUGCGUAGGCGGCUUUUUAAGUCGGAUGUGAAAUCCCUGAGCUUAACUUAGGAAUUGCAUUCGAUACUGGGAAGCUAGAGUAUGGGAGAGGAUGGUAGAAUUCCAGGUGUAGCGGUGAAAUGCGUAGAGAUCUGGAGGAAUACCGAUGGCGAAGGCAGCCAUCUGGCCUAAUACUGACGCUGAGGUACGAAAGCAUGGGGAGCAAACAGG